UCUCUAUGAUGCUUCAGUAGAUCCUGCCGACCCUUUACUUUGUACUCAAAGGGAAGUGAGGAAAGAGAACUACUGAGAGA